UUUGUUCUCUGCCUCCAAGACCUUCUUCAAGCAAAAUGGAGAGAUGGGUUUGGGCAUAUUUUCUCUUCAUUGCAGCUCUAAUGGCUGCUUCUUGUAUACCAUCCGAAUCAGCUAUCUCUAAAGGGUCUUUUGAAGACAAUUUCAGUAUUAUGUGGUCAGAGGAGCAUUUCAAAACUUCUGAAGAUGGUCAGAUCUGGUACCUCUCAUUGGACAAGGAAACAGGUUGUGGGUUUCAAACAAAGCAGAGAUACAGAUUUGGGUGGUUUAGUAUGAAGCUAAAACUGGUUGGAGGUGAUUCAGCUGGUGUAGUGACAGCUUAUUAUGUGAGUCUUUCUUGAUAUAUGUACAACCAGAUAAAGCAUUCAAGAAUCCAAGAAAGUUUCAAUUUUGCCUUCCAAUGCUUAUAAUGCUUUAACUUUUGAAAAUUUUAUUGUUGAGAUCUUUGAGGACUUGCUUGAUAUUGAAAAUGGAAAAAUGAAUGCAGAUGUGCUCAGAGAAUGGGGCAGGACCAACAAGGGAUGAGUUGGAUUUUGAGUUCUUGGGGAAUAGAACCGGACAGCCAUAUUUGAUACAGACAAACGUAUACAAAAAUGGAACUGGUAGGCGUGAGAUGAGGCACAUGCUUUGGUUCGAUCCUACCGAGGAUUUUCACACCUAUUCCAUCCUCUGGAAUAACCACCAGAUUGUGCAAGUUAAUAUUCAAUUUUCAGGAAGUGAAAGUUUCAUUUCAGGACAGUUAACUGAGUUAAAUUUCCAUUAAAUAUUAGGUUCUUUAUAGAUAGAGUUCCCAUAAGAGUGCACAAGAACAAUGGAGAGACUAACAAUUUCUUCCCCAACAAGAAGCCCAUGUACCUAUUCUCGAGCAUUUGGAAUGCAGAUGAGUGGGCCGCAAGAUGUGGGCUAGAGAAGACAGACUGGAAAAACGCUCCAUUUGUGUCCUCUUAUAAGGACUUCAAUGUGGAUGGUUGCCAAUGGGAAGACCCGUACCCUGCUUGCGUAUCAACCACCACCAAGAACUGGUGGGAUCAAUAUCAAGCUUGGCACCUUUCAGAUUCUCAGAAAAUGGACUAUGCUUGGGUCCAGAGAAACCUUGUCAUCUAUGAUUAUUGCAAAGACAUUGAGAGAUACCCAACACUGCCAGUUGAGUGCUCUUUGAGCCCAUGGGCUUGAAAUUGACAACCAUGUGAUAGAUCUUCAAUUUUUCCUUUUCUUUUAUUAUUUUUAUUCUUUUUAUUUAUAUAUUUUGAGAUGAGUUUAAAUUGUGUAUUUUUGUCCAAUCUUUUGUAUUGCAUUUGUUUAAAAAUAAAUUCUCUUAAUUAAA
rnacentral:misc_RNA from 1 species